rnacentral:rRNA from 1 species
GACGAACGCUGGCGGCGUGCCUAAUACAUGCAAGUAGAACGCACAGUUUAUACCGUAGCUUGCUACACCAUAGACUGUGAGUUGCGAACGGGUGAGUAACGCGUAGGUAACCUGCCUGGUAGCGGGGGAUAACUAUUGGAAACGAUAGCUAAUACCGCAUAAUAUUAAUUAUUGCAUGAUAAUUAAUUGAAAGGUGCAAUUGCACCACUACCAGAUGGACCUGCGUUGUAUUAGCUAGUAGGUGAGGUAACGGCUCACCUAGGCGACGAUACAUAGCCGACCUGAGAGGGUGAUCGGCCACACUGGGACUGAGACACGGCCCAGACUCCUCCGGGAGGCAGCAGUAGGGAAUCUCCGGCAAUGGACGAAAGUCUGACCGAGCAACGCCGCGUGAGUGAAGAAGGUUUUCGGAUCGUAAAGCUCGGUUGUAAGAGAAGAACGGGUGUGAGAGUGGAAAGUUCACACUGUGACGGUAUCUUAACAGAAAGGGACGGCUAAAUACGUG